GACGAACGCUGGCGGCGUGCUUAACACAUGCAAGUCGAGCGACGCCCACCUUUCGGGGUGGUGUCCUAGCGGCGAACGGGUGAGUAACACGUGGGCAACCUGCCCCCGGCUCGGGGAUAACUCCAAGAAAUUGGGGCUAAUACCGGAUAUGACCGCUGACCGCAUGGUCUGGUGGUGGAAAGAUUUAUCGGCUGGGGAUGGGCCCGCGGCCUAUCAGCUUGUUGGUGGGGUAGUGGCCUACCAAGGCGACGACGGGUAGCCGGCCUGAGAGGGUGACCGGCCACACUGGGACUGAGACACGGCCCAGACUCCUACGGGAGGCAGCAGUGGGGAAUAUUGCGCAAUGGGCGGAAGCCUGACGCAGCGACGCCGCGUGGGGGAUGACGGCCUUCGGGUUGUAAACCUCUUUCAGCAGGGACGAAGCCGCAAGGUGACGGUACCUGCAGAAGAAGCACCGGCCAACUACGUGCCAGCCGCCGCCGUAAUAC
rnacentral:rRNA from 1 species